AGGUGAAAAGAACCCCGGGAGGGGAGUGAAAGAGAACCUGAAACCGUAUGCUUACAAGCAGAGAGAGCACGACUUAACGUGUGAUCUCGUACUUUUUGUAGAACGGACCGGCGAGUUACGUUAUGUAGCGAGGUUAAGGUAUUAAGUACCGGAGCCGAAGCGAAAGCGAGUGUUAAUAGUGCGAACAGUUGCAUGACGUAGACCCGAAACCGAGUGACCUAUCCAUGAGCAGGUUGAAGCAGUGGUAACACACUGUGGAGGACCGAACUCACGCCUGUUGAAAUAGUCGGAGAUGACUUGUGGAUAGCGGAGAAAUUCUAAUCGAACUCGGAUAUAGCUGGUUCUCCUCGAAAUAGCUUUAGGGCUAGCCUCUGUAUAGAGUACUGAAGGUAGAGCACUGUAUGGGCUAGGGGGCUUCACGGCUUACCGAACCUUAACAAACUUCGAAUGACAGAUACUUGUUUGCAGGGAGUCAGACAGCGUGAGAUAAGUUUCGUUGUCGAAAGGGAAACAGCCCAGAUCUACAGCUAAGGUCCCGAAGUGCAGGUUAAGUGGAAAAGGAUGUAUUGUUGCUAAAACAACCAGGAUGUUGGCUUAGAAGCAGCCACUCAUUUAAAGAGUGCGUAAUAGCUCACUGGUCGAGUGACAACGCGCCGAAGAUUAACGGGGCUAAAACCUGCCACCGAAGCUUAGGAAUGAACGCAAGUUCAUUGGUAGAGGAGCAAUGUAUGCACGCAGAAGCCGUAUCGAAAGGGGCGGUGGAGAGCAUACAAGAGAGAAUGCCGGUAUAAGUAGCGCAAGCGGAGCGAGAAACUCCGCCAUCGAAAGUCUGAGGUUUCCUGGGGAAGGUUCGUCCGCCCAGGGUAAGUCGGGACCUAAGUUGAGGGCGAAAGCCGUAGAUGAUGGACAGCAGGUAGACAUUCCUGUACCGCCACCGGACGCUUUUACCGAAGCAGUGACACAGAAGGAUAGUCAGACCUUGGCGAAUGGUAGAGCCAGGACAGAGCGAGAGGCCGAGACGCAGUGAAGUACACGUCUCGUGAGGCUGGUCGUGAGUGGACCUAAAUGAUGGGAAGCUGAUGAAUUCACGCUGGCGAGAAAAGCUGCUAGGGAGGAAGGUGGUGCCCGUACCGCAAACCGACACAGGUAGACGAGGUGAGAAACCUAAGAUGAACGGGAUAACUCUUGUUAAGGAACUCGGCAAAAUGACCCCGUAACUUCGGGAGAAGGGGUGCCACGCGAGUGGCCGCAGUGAAAAGUCCCAAGCGACUGUUUACCAAAAACACAGGUCUCUGCGAAAUCGAAAGAUGACGUAUAGGGGCUGACGCCUGCCCAGUGCUGGAAGGUUAAGGGGAGUUGUUAGAGCAAUCGAAGCAAUGAACUUAAGCCCCAGUGAACGGCGGCCGUAACUAUAACGGUCCUAAGGUAGCGAAAUUCCUUGUCAGGUAAGUUCUGACCCGCACGAAUGGCGUAACGACUUGGGAACUGUCUCAACAAGAGGCCCGGCGAAAUUGUAGUAUACGUGAAGAUGCGUAUUAACCCGCGACUGGACGGAAAGACCCCGUAGAGCUUUACUGUAACUUGAUAUUGAAUUUCGGCAACUGAUGUACAGGAUAGGUGGGAGACUGAGAAGCGGAGGCGUCAGCCUUUGUGGAGUCGCCGUUGGGAUACCACCCUUUGGUUGCUGGGGUUCUAACGUUCAGCCGUAAGCCGGCGAACGGACAGUGUCAGGUGGGCAGUUUGACUGGGGCGGUCGCCUCCCAAAACGUAACGGAGGCGCCCAAAGGUUCCCUCAGAAUGGUUGGAAAUCAUUCGCAGAGUGCAAAGGCAGAAGGGAGCUUAACUGUGAAGACAGACAUGUCGAGCAGAUACGAAAGUAGGGCUUAGUGAUCCGGCGGUAGAGAAUGGAAUUGCCGUCGCUUAACGGAUAAAAGUUACCUCGGGGAUAACAGGCUGAUCCCUCCCAAGAGUUCACAUCGACGGAGGGGUUUGGCACCUCGAUGUCGGCUCGUCACAUCCUGGGGCUGUAGCAGGUCCCAAGGGUUCGGCUGUUCGCCGAUUAAAGUGGCACGCGAGCUGGGUUCAGAACGUCGUGAGACAGUUCGGUCCCUAUCCAUCGUG
rnacentral:rRNA from 1 species